AUUGAACGCUGGCGGUAUGCUUAACACAUGCAAGUCGAACGGCAGCAUGGUCUAGCUUGCUAGACUGAUGGCGAGUGGCGAACGGGUGAGUAACGCGUAGGAAUAUGCCUUAAAGUGGGGACAACUUGGGAAACUCAAGCUAAUACCGCAUAAUUUCUUCGGAGAAAAGCUAGGGACCUUUGGCCUGGCGCUUUAAGAUU
rnacentral:rRNA from 1 species